CUGGCAGUGGCGGACGGGUGAGGAACGCGUAGGAAUUCAUCUUUGGGUGGGGGACAACCGUGGGAAACUACGGCUAAUACCGCAUGACGGCUGAGGCCUAAAGGUCGCGAGACCGCCUGGAGAGGAGCCUGCGUCCGAUUAGCUAGUUGGUUGGGUAAUGGCUGACCAAGGCUUCGAUCGGUAGCUGGUCUGAGAGGACGGCCAGCCACACGGGGACUGAGACACGGCCCCG
rnacentral:rRNA from 1 species